rnacentral:lncRNA from 1 species
UUUAUAUUUUUCUGCAUCCUCUUUUAGUUUGAAGUUUUCAGUAAUUAGACUUUUAGUUUUAUUUGUGAACUUCCUACUUAAUGUUUCAUAGUUAUUAGAUAGUUUCAGCUUUUCUUUCAUAAGAGAUUGAUUUUCAUCUUUUAGAUUUUUAUUUUUGUUGAUUAGCUUCUUGUGUUCUUCCAUAAGAUCUAAAAAUGCAUCAUGUAAUUCUUCUACUGUAAAAUCACACUCAAGUUCAAAAUCUACUUCAUCAUCAUUGGCCAUGUAGCAGAUUUGGGCCGUCUUUUGUUAUUUUCCUCUUCCGAAAUUGAUUCCUCACUUUCACUCCAUUCAGCCAUGAGGGUCUUCUUAAGUUUUCUUGCCAUCCAUUUCAAUUCCAAGCAAUCUAUCUUGAAGUGCCCGGGCUUGUUACACUCAUAGCAAAUUGGCACCUCUUUUUUCUUUUCUGUCUUUUUCCUUUUCCUUGCUUGAGCUGCUUUUGAGGAAAGGCUUCCUUUUGUGGAGUCUCUUCUUACCUCUCAUGAAUUUUUUGAAUUUUCUUGCGAGCAUGCAUUUCAAAAUUCAAUCUAUUCCCACGUCACUCUUCUCAGUAGCCAUUCCUUCUUCAUCAUAUUCCUCCUCAUCAUCAAACUACUCUGAUUCAACGUCUUGUCUUGGAGUUGUGGACUUCAAGGCA